UACGUAGGUGGCAAGCGUUGUCCGGAUUUACUGGGCGUCAAGAGCGCGCAGGCGGUCGAAUAAGUCGAAUGUGAAAGCCCCCGGCUUAACUGGGGAGGGUCAUUCGAUACUGCUCGACUUGAAGGCAGGAGAGGGUAGUGGAAUUCCCGGUGUAGUGGUGAAAUGCGUAGAUAUCGGGAGGAACACCAGUGGCGAAGGCGGCGACCUGGGCUGACACUGACGCUGAGGUUCGAAAGCGUGGGGAGCAAACAGG
rnacentral:rRNA from 1 species